rnacentral:snRNA from 1 species
GUGCUCUCUUUGGCAGCACAUACGCUAAAAUUAGGACAACACAGAGAAGAUUAGCAUGGCUCCUGUGUGAG